rfam:Oryza rufipogon genomic scaffold, chr12
UUUAGAUGCAGCCAUAAGUUUCUGUGUCCAACUUUAAUCAUUCGUCUUAUUUAACUUUUUUUAAUAUUAGUAUUUUUUGUUGUUAUUAGAUGAUAAAACAUAAAUAGUAUUUUAUGGGUGACUUUUUUAAUUUUUUUUAAAUAAGACAAAUGAUUAAAGUUGGACACGAAAACUCAUAGCUGCGCUUAAA